rnacentral:rRNA from 1 species
CCUACGGGUGGCAGCAGUGAGGAAUAUUGGUCAAUGGGCGUACGCCUGAACCAGCCAAGUCGCGUGAGGGAUGAAGGUUCUAUGGAUCGUAAACCUCUUUUAUAAGGGAAUAACGUGCGGGACGUGUCCCGUGUUUUAUGUACCUUGUAAAUAAGGAUCGGCUAACUCCGGGCCCGCCGCCGCGGUAAAACGGGGGAUCCGAGCGGUAUCCGGAUUUAUUGGGUUUAAAGGGUGAGUAGGCCGCCUUUUAAGUCAGCGGGGAAAGUCUGUGGCUUAAACAUAGAAUUGCCGUUGAAACUGGGAGGCUUGAGUAUGUUUGAGGCAGGCGGAAUGCGUGGUGUAGCGGUGAAAUGCUUAGAUAUCACGCAGAACCACGAUUGCGAAGGCAGCCUGCCAAGCCACGACUGACGCUGAUGCACGAAAGCGUGGGGAUCAAACAGGAUUAGAUACCCUUGUAGUC